rnacentral:rRNA from 1 species
GUAGGGAAUCUUCCACAAUGGACGAAAGUCUGAUGGAGCAACGCCGCGUGAGUGAAGAAGGUCUUCGGAUCGUAAAACUCUGUUGUUAGAGAAGAACGUGCGUGAUAGUAACUGAUCAUGUAAUGACGGUAUCUAACCAGAAAGCCACGGCUAACUACGUGCCAGCAGCCGCGGUAAUACGUAGGUGGCAAGCGUUGUCCGGAUGUAUUGGGCGUAAAGGGAACGCAGGCGGUUUUUUAAGUCUGAUGUGAAAGCCUUCGGCUUAACCGAAGAAUAGCAUUGGAAACUGGAAGACUUGAGUGCAGAAGAGGAGAGUGGAAUUCCAUGUGUAGCGGUGAAAUGCGUAGAUAUAUGGAGGAACACCAGUGGCGAAAGCGGCUCUCUGGUCUGUAACUGACGCUGAGGUUCGAAAGCGUGGGUAGCAAACAGGAUUAGAAACCCUUGUAGUCC